CACCCCGGGUACUUGAAGGCCGCCGGGCUCCGCCUUCACCACGUGGGCCCUGAGUUCCUCCGCGGCGCCUUCGUGGGCGACACGCGAUUCCUGAGCUUCCACAGCCGCGGCGAGAAUCAGAGCGUGAAGCGCGGGUGGAGAAGAUGGCACAGGGCUGUGGGCGCCCUGAGGAAAGUUCUCGAAGACCGCAGGGAAUGUGUUACUGAGGGGCCUGAGGUUCCUGGGCCCGCACCACCACCAGGGUCAGCCGGUGAGUGACCUCAGAUUCCGGGCACAGGUGUGCCCCGCCCCGACCCCAGAGUGACCAGCCCGGUUCUCCCAGGGAUGGGGGGGCGGGGCCUCAGCUGAUCCCUCUCAGGUGGGGAAGCGCUGGGGCCAUUUUGCUCCAGGUUUCUCCUUCAAUCUGGAUCAUGACUGACUUGUUCUGUGACCAAUGACAGAGGGAGGAAGGAGCUGGGGUGGGCGGGGCGACCUCCCUCCCCUCCCUGGCCCCGCCUCCGGCUCACCCUGGGGCAGGUCCAGGGCACCGCACCUGCAGAUGCUGCUGUCUGGCUGGGUGGUGGCUCCGGACAGGAGCUUCCUCGAAGGACACUUUAAGUCCGCCUACGACAAGGAGAUUUCAUGUCCCUGAACGAGGACCUGCAGACCUGGACAGCGGCUCAAAGAGCGGCUUGGAGGAUCCAUCACACCUGGGAGAGGUUCUGGACCGCGGAGGCCACAAGGGAAGCCCCGAUGGGUCACUGCACUAGGUGGCUGCUCAGACACCUGGAGCAUGGCAAGGAGAUGAUGCUGCCGGCAGAAGAUAAAACACCAGGAAACGGAAUCGGCAGAGACACAGUAGAUGAAAGUACCACGAAGGACUGCUAGGUUCUAAUAGAAAGUAGCAGAUAGCCCCGUGGAGAUUCCUGCUGUGCAGCAAAGCCUGGGAGGGGCCCUUGGCUGUGGAAGGCAGGCUGAGACGUCAUAAGUGAGAUAGGAGGAAGGGGACCUGCUGGACUCCCGGAGGCCUGGUACCCAGGGAAGGCCAGUUCCUAGGGCUGCCUCUGGACUUCAGAACCUUGAUGUUAAGUCAGAUUUUCCCGCUCCUCCAUGAGCUUCCAGGAGCAGGGCCACAUGGGGCUCAGAAAGUCCCACAG